AAAGAAGCAGAGAUGGAGUGCAUCUGCCCCAAGUGGAGGCAGCAGCAGCAGCAGGAGGGAGGUGUCGGGGCAGUGGGGCCGCAGGGCCAGUCCUCAGGUUGGUUACUCAGUUGUCCUCCCUGGUCUGUCCUCAAGGCGUGAUUUGGGCUGGGGUUCUGGCUGCCGUCCAGCCCUCCCUGGUUGCUGUGAGCCUGGCUCUCUAGCCAGCCCUAGAAGUCCGUGAGUUAGUUCUCUGUUGCUUGCAACCAAGAACCCUGACAAGAAAGAAAACUGGCUCAGAGAGGCUGAGUAACCUGCUCAAGAUGACACAGCUUGUGGGUGGCUGAGUUGGCCUUCCAACCCAGAUUCCUGUCAUGUUCCUCAAGCCGACAGGUUCAGCUUGGUUGUGACCUCUGCUAGAAGCCCUCCCUGGCCUCCCUGUGCACUGAGCUGGUGGUUCCUCCUUUGCGCCCCAGUCAGGAAGCCACUCCACCCCAGAAGAAGGUAAUAUGAGUCCUACUACCUUUCUGAAAGGAAGGUGAGUACAGAAAAGCAAGACAGUAACUUUCCCAAGCCAGGGAACCCCUGUCUCCCCAACUUCUGCAUCAUGUAGACCAUUUGUGUCUACAACUUACAGGAGGCAGUGUAGACUAGCAGUUGAGAAUGUGAGUCUAGAAUCAGAAUGCCUGGGUUCAAACCUCAACUCUGUCACUUUCCAGCUAUUUGGCCUUGGACAUAUUACUUAAACAUUUGUGUGUUUUAAAACGUGUACACAAUCCUUUGACUCUCUUUCCAUCAAGAAGUGGAGCCUAUGUCCCCUCCCUUUGAACCUGGGUGGAAAUGUGGGAGUGCCUAGACAAAUAGAAUGUGGCAAAAGUGACACUGUGUGAUUUCCAAGGCUAGGUUAGAAAAGACCCUGCAGCUUCUGAUGAUUCCUUUAGGGACACUCAUGUCGGGAGGCUUCAGCUGCUGUGAAAGAAACUCAGCUACCCUGAGGCUGCCUUGUAGAGGGACUGCAUUUAAAGUGAGAGAUUCCUGAGGAGUUCCAGCCAUCCAGCCCCAAGCAGUGUGAACCUCCUAGUCUAGACCCCAGCAUUUGAGCUGACCUCAGCCCCAGCCACCAAUUGACUGCAAACUCAUGAGACACCCUGAGUGAGAACUGCCUAGCUUAGUCUCUGUCAACCCUCAAAUUUCAGGAACAAAAUAAAUGAUUGUUGUUGUCUUAAGACCACUGUUUGGGGAUGGUUUCUUAUCAUGCAAUAGAUAGCUGAUGCAGACUUUUCUAUAACCUAGAAACGGAAUGCUGCCAUCACAGAACCUAAGUCAUGUGGCUUUAGGACUGGGAGAUGGGUAGAGAUUGUAAGGACUUUGAGGAUAUUGUUGAUGGAAGUCUGAUAGUUCUCAAGGAAGUUGCUGGUGAGGGCUUAAAGGAAAGUGAGAAAUUUUUAUUAGAAGCAGGAGGAAAGGGGACAAACCCUUAUUACGUGGUGGAAGAAAGUUAGUAACAUUGUCACUUGAAGCUAUGUGAGCAAUAGAAAAUGUGCCUAAUGAAGGCUGGGCACGGUGGCUCACACCUCUAACCCCAGCACUUUGGGAGGCCGAGGUGGGCAGAUCACAUGAGGUCAGGAGUUUGAGACCAGCCUGGCCAACAUGGUGAAACCCCAUCUCUACUAAAAAUGCAAAAAUUAGCUGGGCGUGGUGUUGCACGCUUGUAAUCCCAGCUACUUGGGAGGCUGAGGCAGGAGGAUGGCUUGAACCUGGGAAGCGGAGGUUGCAGUGAGCCGAGAUCAUGCCACCGCACUCCAGCCUGGGCAACAGAGCAAGACUCCAUCUAAAAAAAAAGAGAAAUAUCCAUGAGUUUGAACUUAUAUAAAUAAAUGGCUACAUAGAGAAAAGGGGGAGAAGAUACAAAAAUACAGAAUUGCAGAUGAUAUUCACAGAUACUCAAGGAUGAGCAUAGCUCCCUGCUCCUUAAAUGUGGGCUCCACAUAGCAACUUACCUCCAAACAGUAUACACGGAAAGGGGAAGAAAGAAUAACUUCAUAGUGGAGAAACCUGACAAACACUACUUCUGUUAACUGUGAACGCAGUUGACAUCGACAGUGACAGGUCAUGGUGGUGGCAUAUACUCUUGAUAGGAUGUAAUGAAAGUGGCACUUCACCUUUGAGGUCUUGCUCCCUCAAACCCAUAACCUAAAACAUCAGACAAAUCCCAGCUGAGGAACAUUCUACAAAAUACCUGACCAAUACUCCUUGAAAUCAUCAAGAUCAUCAAAAACAAGAAAAGUCUGAGAAACUGUCACAGCCAAGGGAGACCUAAGAAGACAUGAUGGCCAAAUGUAAUGCUGCAUCCUAGAACAGAAAAAGGAUAUUAGGUUAAAAAAAAAAACAACUAAGGAAAUCUGAAUAAAGUAUGAACAUAGUUUAAUAAUAAUGUUAAUCUUGUAGGGCUGAUAUCAAUAGCAGUUUAUUAAUUGUGGCAAAUGUACCGUACUAAAUGUAAGAUGAUGAUAAUAGGGGAAAUUGGGUGUGGAGAAUAUGGGAACUCUCUGUAUUAUCU
rnacentral:lncRNA from 1 species